AAGAAAUUGAUAAGAGAAACAGUAACACACUAUCACUACUCUGUUGUCAUUUCCUUCAAUACAACACGAGCAAUUCUUUCAAUUAAUUCUUCUGUUACCACCGAAAGGGUCAACAACGAGUCACACCUACAAGCUUUCCUUCUCCUAAUCUUUUUAACAACCUUCGGUGGCGUCACAGCAGUUUCCCGUGAAGGUAGUUUUUCUUCUUUCUCUGUUACAACAACUUCAUUCGUUUCAUUGCCGGGCAGAAUCUCCUUUGUUUUCUCUGUUCGUUGUACUACCAGAGGUCCUUCGCCAUUUUCUGAAGCAUUUCUACUCUCCUCCACAGAUGUCAUCGAAAUGCUUUCCUGUGAAGGUAGUCUUUCUUCUUUCUUUGUUACUAUAAUUUCAUUCGUUUCAUUGGCUGGCGGAAUCUCCUUUGUUUUCUCUGUCCGUUCUACUGUCAGAGGACCAUCGCCAUUUUCUGUUACGUUCUUAGUCUCCACAGAUGUCUCCUUAAUGGUUUCCUGUGAAGGCAGUUUCUCUUCUUUUUCUGUUACUAACAUUUCAUUCGUUUUAUUGCCGGGAAGAAUCUCAAUGGUUUUCUCUGUCCGUUCUACUUUCUGGCGUCCGUCGCUCUUAUCCGUAUCGUUCUUACUUUCCACACAUGUUUCCCUAAUGGUUUCCUCUAAAGGUAGUUUUUCUUCUUUCUCUGUUGCUAAUAAUUGAUUCGUUUUAUUGCCUGGCAGAAUCUCCUUUGUUACCUCAGUGGCACUGGUAAGAGGCAGUACUGUUGCUUCCUUCUUUAUAACAACUUCCUCGUGUAUUUCAUUACCUCUUCGUCCGUGACCUUGUUCACGUCCACCGUCUGUGUUAGGGACCCGUUGUGUGGAGUGGUUUGCGUCAGAGUUUUGCUCUCUGUGACAGAUUUUUCGGCACUUUCUUUACCUUCCUCAUCAAUAACAACCUGUGUUUUCGUAAUCUUUGAUACAUUUCCGUUGGGCUGUAGGUCAGUUUCUGUAGUCUUUCAACGACUGUCUUAUUGCCGGUUACAUGCCCCGUUUCAUCUCUAUUAUCAAAGACUUUCCUUUCCACGGUCUUGAUACUGUCAUUCGCGCCAUUUUGCAAACGUGUGCUCAUCUUCUCAAGAUCAGGCAUUUUGGGGAAAUCUUUGAGUUCCCCCUCGUCAUGUUUCUUAAAAGGGUCGUCAUUGGCCUUCUUGAG